GAAAAGAUGCCUUUGUGCUAAAUAAGGAAACAAAAGCCUGGCUUCUCCAACACAUUUGUGCUCUCCAAGGAACUAUGGGAAGAUGGGCUUAUUCAUCCAUAAUGAAGUUGUCAUCGACAGGGUGGCACGAGAAGCAGAAAACUGAAAACUGGAGAGAAGAACUUGCUCAAAGUCACGCAGCUAGUAUGUGACCAACAGAAACCAAACUCUGGUCUGUCCUGCCCCCCAAACGUGCCUGCGCCCUUCCGUGCCCCACACUGUGUUGGGUCCUGGGCGGGGCUCAGUCGGUCUGGCUUCUUGGCCUGCUCUGCCACCAACUGUGUGACCCUGUACGGGUUGCCAGCUUUUCGGGUCUCGUAAUUUCAUGGCUGCCCCUUCCUAGAAGAUCUCCCAUUCUAUGGGCACUCCCAUAGAAGUACCCAUUCAACUCUGAUUUUGAUGACGCCCUGGCAGCAAAGCCGACGACUUACCAACAUGCAGGCUGCCUCCCCGUACAGUGUGUAUUCAUUCUCCACGCGAUUGGUGAAUUUGCCUUUGUCGGCGUCACAGAGGAAGGAGCGACAUCAGUGACGUCACUGCAGGGCAUCCCUGGGACCUCUUCUCUGGAACAAGGCAUCCAAGGGAAGCAAGGAACCUGGUGAGGGCGGCAGGUCAGAUGUGCUUUCCCCUGGUUUACAGUUGAGAAGGGAAGCCGGCUGAUAGAAGCUCAGAUGCCCGGGAAGCAUCUCUCACCUGUCUCCCGAGGGCUCACCCUUCUUCCUUGACGCUCCCCAGAUCCUGCUCAGAGCACCGCCACCCAACCACUGGGUCUGCUCACAGACAGAUGCCGCCAUUACACACCUCCUUCCCCAGAGCAGGGAGACCCAAUUAUUUUCUUCAACUUUAAAACGUGUGAAGUUCCCGUGCUCAGAAAACCCGAUCUGUCCAUCCUGCCAGAGCUGGUUUCCCAAACCCCGAGCCAUGUACUAUAACUAAUACCUUCGUGCCAAGCACUUGACGGACUCCAUCACAGCCGGGAGCAUUCUGGCUUAGGGAUGGUUUUUACCCGAAACAAAGGAAAGCCUUUCCCUGAAGCGACUCGGGCAAACAGGGAGCAGGCUGUCUCGUUACUGGCACUUCGUGGUGCUUGUUUAGGCGGGCGGCGUAAAGGGAUCCCGGUCUGAGUCUCCAGCCUCACCGUGUCCCGAAAUCCCUGAGACCUGGAGCACGUCACUCAGACUCACCCAAGCUCAUUUUCCCACCCGUAAAACCAGGACCGCAAAAACAACCUUCCUCACUACCUGCACCGUUGGUACGAAAAACGCUCUGUACAUUUAAAGUGCUAUUGAAAAGUCUGCUCUUGUAAACAUUCGUAUUUUGGUAAUAUAAUAGCUGAUUUUCUUUUUUUAACUGUUGUUCUAUUACGGUUGUCCCAAUUUUCCUCCCUUUGCCCUCCUUUGCCCAGCCCACGCCACGCUCCCCUAGUCCAGCCCCACGCUGAUGUCCAGGUCCAUGGGUCAUGCACACAUGUUCUCUGACUAGUCCCUUCCCCUUCUUUCCACCAUUGCCCCCUCUCGCCUCUCCCCUGGCCACUGUCAGUCUGAUGUUCUAAUUACCGCCCUCCCUGCUGUGAUGCUGUGAAUGCUCUGGCCAUACCCCAGAGGCACCUGCUAGUGACCUCGGAGUUCUGACCUUGCUUCCAGAUCACGAGCUCUCUAGACAGGUUUCCAACAUUCAGUCCCCUUUCCUGAAAGAUGAAAUGUCUCUCUUCUCUGUCCCUUCUUGCUCUGGGAUACCUGACAUUAUGUCUUCAGUGAUUUUAGAUUUUUAAAAAGAUACAAUCAGCUUUUAUUUUUGUGCACAAAAAGCCACAAGGUAAGAAAAUAGUGGGGCUGACAACCUGCUUAGAAUGAAAGGAACAAGAAAACUGCACUCAACAAAGCGCAUUCCUGUUUCAGAAAACGAGCUGCUACAAUAGAAGCAGCCAGACCUGGCAUCAGUCCAUUGUCGUAUUUCUUUUGGAUUGGAAUCUCUGUGGCUAUGUGCGUUAAUGAGCUUUUUGUUUGAAAUAUAUUGUUUAUAUCAACAUUUAGUACUGACACAGAAUUUGUUACCGUAGAGAUUGCUAUGAUUUUGUUAUUCAAUCUCUAAGUUUGUAUUUACAAAGAAAACAAUUUAAUGUACAUAGGUUAAUAUAAUUCUGUGCCAAUUAGGUAAGCUGUGUUACUGUAAUAAUAAAUAUAAU